rnacentral:rRNA from 1 species
AGCGAACGCUGGCGGCGUGCUUAAUACAUGCAAGUCGAACGGACGUAGCAAUACGUUAGUGGCGACCGGGUGCGUAACACGUAGCUGACCUGCCCCCUCAGCGGGGGACAACAGGACGAAAGUCUUGCUAAUACCGCAUACAUUUAUAGUGUUUAGAAGGCUAUAAAGAAACUUCAGGGGGUUGAGGGAGGGAGCUGCGGCCCAUCAGGUAGUUGGUGAGGUAGAAGCUCACCAAGCCGACGACGGGUAGGGGGCCUGAGAGGGUGGUCCCCCACACUGGGACUGACACACGGCCCAGACUCCUACGGGAGGCAGCAGUAAGGGAAUCUUCCACAAUGGACGAAAGUCUGAUGGAGCAACGCCGCGUGCAGGA